CACUCCUGCGGGAGGCAGCAGUGGGGAAUUUUGGACAAUGGGCGAAAGCCUGAUCCAGCAAUGCCGCGUGAGUGAAGAAGGCCUUCGGGUUGUAAAGCUCUUUUGUCAGGGAAGAAACGGUGAAAGCUAAUAUCUUUUGCUAAUGACGGUACCUGAAGAAUAAGCACCGGCUAACUACGUGCCAGCAGCCGCGGUAAUACGUAGGGUGCAAGCGUUAAUCGGAAUUACUGGGCGUAAAGCGUGCGCAGGCGGUUUUGUAAGUCUGAUGUGAAAUCCCCGGGCUCAACCUGGGAAUUGCAUUGGAGACUGCAAGGCUAGAAUCUGGCAGAGGGGGGUAGAAUUCCACGUGUAGCAGUGAAAUGCGUAGAUAUGUGGAGGAACACCGAUGGCGAAGGCAGCCCCCUGGGUCAAGAUUGACGCUCAUGCACGAAAGCGUGGGGAGCAAACAGGAUUAGAUACCCGGGUAGUCCCAUGA
rnacentral:rRNA from 1 species